UUGGCUUUCCAUUUCAUGCUGGCAGUAAUGACAGCUGCCGCAAGAAAUAUUGAACGGGAGCACAA
rnacentral:sRNA from 1 species